GAAGGCCCGAGGGUUGUAAAGCACUUUCAAUUGUGAGGAAGGUAGUGUAGUUAAUACCUGCAUUGCUUGACGUUAACUUUAGAAGAAGCACCGGCUAACUCUGUGCCAGCAGCCGCGGUAAUACAGAGGGUGCAAGCGUUAUUCGGAAUUACUGGGCGUAAAGCGCGCGUAGGCGGACUAUUAAGUCAGUUGUGAAAGCCCUGGGCUCAACCUAGGAACUGCAUCUGAUACUGGUAGUCUAGAGUUUAGGAGAGGGAAGUGGAAUUCCAGGUGUAGCAGUGAAAUGCGUAGAUAUCUGGAGGAACAUCAGUGGCGAAGGCGACUUCCUGGCCUAAAACUGACGCUGAGGUGCGAAAGCAUGGGUAGCGAACGGGAUUAG
rnacentral:rRNA from 1 species